rnacentral:rRNA from 1 species
CCUACGGGUGACAGCAGUAGGGAAUAUUGCGCAAUGGGCGAAAGCCUGACGCAGCGACGCCACGUGAGGGAUGAAGGUCUUCGGAUCGUAAACCUCUGUCAGCAGGGAAGAACGGUCACUGUGCUAAUCAGCAGUGAAUUGACGGUACCUGCAAAGAAAGCACCGGCUAACUCCGUGCCAGCAGCCGCGGUAAUACGGAGGGUGCGAGCGUUAUUCGGAAUUAAUGGGCGUAAAGCGCUCGUAGGCGGUAUGUCAAGUCAAGGGUGAAAUCCCCGCGCUCAACGUGGGAACUGCUUUUGAAACUGGCAAACUGGAGUGUGAGAGAGGAUAGUGGAAUUCCAGGGGUAGGAGUGAAAUCCGUAGAUAUCUGGAGGAACAUCAGUGGCGAAGGCGACUAUCUGGCACAUAACUGACGCUGAGGAGCGAAAGCGUGGGGAGCAAACAGGAUUAGAUACCCUAGUAGUC